rnacentral:rRNA from 1 species
CAACGCGAAGAACCUUACCAAGGCUUGACAUACACCGGUAACGCCCAGAGAUGGUGCCCCUUUGUGGUCGGUGGACAGGUGGUGCAUGGUUGUCGUCAGCUCGUGUCGUGAGAUGUUGGGUUAAGUCCCGCAACGAGCGCAACCCUCGUCCUAUGUUGCCAGCGGGUCAUGCCGGGGACUCAUGGGAGACUGCCGGGGUCAACUCGGAGGAAGGUGGGGAUGACGUCAAAUCAUCAUGCCCCUUAUGUCUUGGGCUUCACGCAUGCUACAAUGGCCGGUACAAAGGGCUGCGAUACCGCGAGGUGGAGCGAAUCCCAGAAAGCCGGUCUCAGUUCGGAUUGGGGUCUGCAACUCGACCCCAUGAAGUCGGAGUCGCUAGUAAUCGCAGAUCAGCAACGCUGCGGUGAAUACGUUCCCGGGCCUU